rnacentral:rRNA from 1 species
UACGUAGGGUGCAAGCGUUAAUCGGAAUUACUGGGCGUAAAGCGUGCGCAGGCGGUUAUGUAAGACAGGUGUGAAAUCCCCCGGGCUUAACCUGGGAACUGCAUUUGUGACUGCAUAGCUAGAGUACGGUAGAGGGGGAUGGAAUUCCGCGUGUAGCAGUGAAAUGCGUAGAUAUGCGGAGGAACACCGAUGGCGAAGGCAAUCCCCUGGACCUGUACUGACGCUCAUGCACGAAAGCGUGGGGAGCAAACGGG